rnacentral:rRNA from 1 species
UACAGAGGAUGCAAGCGUUAUCCGGAAUCACUGGGCGUAAAGCGUCUGUAGGUGGUUCGAAAAGUCCACUGUUAAAAAUUGAGGCUUAACUUCAAAGAUGCCGUGGAAACUUUCAAACUAGAGUAUGGUAGGGGUAGAGGGAAUUUCCAGUGGAGCGGUGAAAUGCGUAGAUAUUGGAAAGACCACCGAUGGCGAAGGCACUCUACUGGGCCACUACUGACACUGAGAGACGAAAGCUAGGGGAGCAAAUGGG